CCUACGGGUGGCAGCAGUGAGGAAUAUUUGUCAAUGGACGCAAGUCUGAACCAGCCAUGCCGCGUGCAGGAAGACGGCUCUAUGAGUUGUAAACUGCUUUUGUACGAGGGUAAACGCAGAUACGCGUAUCUGUCUGAAAGUAUCGUACGAAUAAGGAUCGGCCAACUCCGUGCCAGCAGCCGCGGUAAUACGGAGGAUUCAAGCGUUAUCCGGAUUUAUUGGGUUUAAAGGGUGCGUAGGCGGGCGGAUAAGUUAGUGGUGAAAUCCCGGGGCUCAACUUCGGAAUUGCCGCUGAUACUGUUCGGCUAGAGUGUAGUUGCGGGAGGCGGAAUGUAUGGUGUAGCGGUGAAAUGCUUAGAGAUCAUGCAGAACACCGAUUGCGAAGGCAGCUUACCGAGCUACUACUGACGUUGAGGCACGAAAGCGUGGGGAGCGAACAGGAUUAGAUACCCGAGUAGUC
rnacentral:rRNA from 1 species